rnacentral:sRNA from 1 species
GAAACACAAACCCUAAUCUCGAUCCCCUUUCACAGAUGAGCGAAGUGCUCAAACGACCUAAAUGAUGAAAAAUACCCUUGAGCAAAAACAUAAAAGAUGAAACAAAAAAAAAAAUCAAUCGGACGAAGGAAGAAAACCGAAGAAGAAGAAACAGGAGCUCGAUCCGCCGAAAUCCCCAAAUCGCCGCUCGAUCCGCCGACAAUCGCCGUCGCGCAAACUCCGCCUUCGACGAUUGAUCCCUCCGCCGUCUCCGCUCUGUAGAUCCGCCGUUGCCUCGGAAGAUCUGCCGUCUCGCCACUCGAUCCGAAAGUGUGGAGAUGCAUGAUAAAGCUGAAUUACCAGAGAUGGCUGUCACUUGCUGCAAAAGAAGGUCUCUAUUCAGCAUAUACUGGAAUUGGGUACUUGUAUGUCAAAUGUUAUGGAGUAGAUAAUAAAAACUACACUUAAGUACCAUGCUUGAUGGUGGGCGUGGCAGAGAUUAGAAGAUUAGAAAUGGUUAAGAGAUAGAUUAGAAGAUUCGUUGAUCAAUGAAAAGAAACUGGUUUCACAACGCCGAUAAGAAUUGGCAAAGGUUCUUGCUGAGAAUGGCAAAGCUAAAGCUAUUGCCUUUGAUGAAAUUGAUAAAGCUCCUGAAGAGAAGAAGAGAAGAAGAGAGGAAUUACAAUUGCUACGGUCUGUCUUCUCUCCCAUCUUCUAAUUGGAUUCCACGUCAAUAUUUUUUCUAGUCAUUAUAUUUGUUUUUAAUUUUAGUUUCUAUUCUACUGUGAUAUUCUAAUUUAACAAAGUAGUAAUUGUAAUUAUAAGAAAUUGUAAGAUUUUUUUAUUUUUAAUAUUAUUGCUUCCUUUUAUAGUUUUUUUUUGUAAGAAUUUGUAUUUAUUUUCAGUUUUCUUUUCAUAUUUACUUGUUUUUCUUAUUUUAUUCGGAUUUUUUAUUUUAAUUCAAUAUUAUUUAUGGUCGGUUUUUGGUUGAUUUCGUUCCUUGAUAUUUAGUCGGAUUUUUGUUAUCGGUUUUUUGUCGAAAAUUUUUCAUCAGUUUUUUGUCGGAAACUUAUCAUCGGUUUUUCGUCGGAAUUGUUUUGGUCGGAUUGUGGUUACAAAUUAGCUUUCCUCUGAUUUUGGUCUUUUUGUCGUCGUUUUUUUUUCUCUCGUUAUUUCGUGGAUUUUUCCAAUGAAAUUCCGAUCAAACUCCAAUUUCGAUCGAUAUAGAUCCAACGAGUCAUUUCGUCGGAAUUUUCUCGGAAACGCUCUUUUCCGUUGACUUUCCGACAAAUAUUUUAGUCGGAAUCAUUGAUUUUCUUGUAGUGAAAGUAGAGGAGGAAGUCGAUCGAACACCACAUGAGAAUGAUAUUUACUAAAGAUAGGUCCUUCUGAAAACGAUAUUUUCUUAUACGUUUUUCAUUACAUGUUGUUAUUCUUUUCUUCAUCUAAACUUUGUUCUUAAUAUCAUUAUUCUUUCAUAUAUUCAUCAUGUCUUCUUCGCCAUCGUUCAUGUUUACUUCCGUUAUGCAUGAGUAAUUUCAUUAGGUUGUUAUUGGAAAUAUAUUUAGGGUUCUUCAUCUAGAUUUGUGAAACAGUUUGUUGCUUGAUGAACCAUCUUGUUACUGCGCUUAGGUAGAUUUACUUUCCGAAAAUUGAUAAAUCACCUUAACUAAAUUAUAUAAGUAAAGUGUCAUAGUUUGUGAAAGUUUAGUUAUGAAUUUUUGUGAAUACUUAGAAUUCAGAUUGUUUAUGUGUGUUUACCGUUUUUAAUUACUCGCGGAAGUUGAGUAAAAUAGGUUGCUAGAUAAAGUAAUUAGUACUGCAGAGGUAGGUUAAUUAUUAGUUCGAAAUUCAAGUUCUUGAAUUCGAAUAAGCAGAAGAUCAAUAGAUCCCGAAUGAGAUUGAUCGAUCCAAGCUGAGAGCGAUCAAUCCUUGCCUAAGAUCGAUCGAUCUUCUCUAUUCCCUGAGUCUUAUUUGUCUAGUCGAGAUAUUGAUCCAUGAUACCCUGCGAAUUCUCCUUUGCCCAAUGUUUUCUCUCAUUGAUUUAAUCUCAAUACUUGCUAGUUCAUCUCUAUUUUCCACAUCAUCCACAACCCAAAAACAAUCAACCUUAUAAUAAACUCGUUGUGUGAAUUUUUGGACUUCAGUGGAUCGAACCUAAGUACUAUUGUGUUUGCUGUGCACUUACAGUCUUAUUUCAGGGUUUAAAAUCUGAGCACAUCAAUUUUUUAACGUCGUUGCCGGGGACCAAUGUAAUUGGCUACGAAUUUUACACCAGAAUUUAGCCUAAGGUACGCGUUUCCUUUUUAAUUUAUUUCUUUAUCUUUUUGUGUCUCAGGUUCUCUUGAGAAAAAGAUAGAUCUUCGACACCGUACAGUUGGAGAAUUCGAUUCGUUAGAUGUUAGCUUCUAAAAUCGCAAUCCGAUAUGACCUGCACAACCCCCUGGAGAGUUUAAGAUCAGCUCAAAACUUAUUGCUUUGGUUGAAUGCAAUACUAAUUACAAUUUAGGCUCUCUUAGUCUUUUUAUGAGAGCAACCAUUGCAUUAGUUGUAAGUAGUUUGACUAUCUGGGCGAAUAUUUGCAGGUGGUGUGCAAAUUUAGUAAUUUCAAGUUCAUAUUUGUUAAGAUAUGCAAAUAAACAUUUUAAAAACACAACUCCAUAAU